rnacentral:rRNA from 1 species
AUUGAACGCUGGCGGCAUGCCUUACACAUGCAAGUCGAACGGUAACGCGGGGCAACCUGGCGACGAGUGGCGAACGGGUGAGUAAUGCAUCGGAACGUGCCCGGUAGUGGGGGAUAACUGCUCGAAAGAGCAGCUAAUACCGCAUACGACCUGAGGGUGAAAGGGGGGAUCGCAAGACCUCUCGCUAUCGGAGCGGCCGAUGUCGGAUUAGCUAGUUGGUGGGGUAAAGGCCUACCAAGGCGACGAUCCGUAGCUGGUCUGAGAGGACGACCAGCCACACUGGGACUGAGACACGGCCCAGACUCCUACGGGAGGCAGCAGUGGGGAAUUUUGGACAAUGGAUGCAAGUCUGAUCCAGCCAUGCCGCGUGCGGGAAGAAGGCCUUCGGGUUGUAAACCGCUUUUGUCAGGGAAGAAAUCUUCUGAGUUAAUACCUCGGGAGGAUGACGGUACCUGAAGAAUAAGCACCGGCUAACUACGUGCCAGCCGCCGCCGUAAUAC